AGUGGGAUAGCUGGGUCAAAUGGUAGUUCCAUUCCAGUUUUCUGAGGAAUCUCCAUAUUGCUUUCCAUAUUGGCUGCGCCAAUUUGUAAUCCUGCCAGCAAU
rnacentral:pre_miRNA from 1 species